rnacentral:rRNA from 1 species
AAGGUGAUAUGAACCGUUAUAACCGGCGAUUUCCGAAUGGGGAAACCCAGUGUGACUCGUCACACUAUCAUUAACUGAAUCCAUAGGUUAAUGAGGCGAACCGGGGGAACUGAAACAUCUAAGUACCCCGAGGAAAAGAAAUCAACCGAGAUUCCCCCAGUAGCGGCGAGCGAACGGGGAGGAGCCCAGAGCCUGAAUCAGCAUAUGUGUUAGUGGAAGCGUCUGGAAAGGCGCGCGAUACAGGGUGACAGCCCCGUACACAAAAGCGCAUGUGCUGUGAGCUCGAUGAGUAGGGCGGGACACGUGGUAUCCUGUCUGAAUAUGGGGGGACCAUCCUCCAAGGCUAAAUACUCCUGACUGACCGAUAGUGAACCAGUACCGUGAGGGAAAGGCGAAAAGAACCCCGGCGAGGGGAGUGAAAAAGAACCUGAAACCGUGUACGUACAAGCAGUGGGAGCACCCUUUGGGGUGUGACUGCGUACCUUUUGUAUAAUGGGUCAGCGACUUAUAUUCUGUAGCAAGGUUAACCGAAUAGGGGAGCCGGAGGGAAACCGAGUCUUAAUUGGGCGUUAAGUUGCAGGGUAUAGACCCGAAACCCGGUGAUCUAGCCAUGGGCAGGUUGAAGGUUGGGUAACACUAACUGGAGGACCGAACCGACUAAUGUUGAAAAAUUAGCGGAUGACCUGUGGCUGGGGGUGAAAGGCCAAUCAAACCGGGAGAUAGCUGGUUCUCCCCGAAAGCUAUUUAGGUAGCGCCUCGUGAAUUCAUCUCCGGGGGUAGAGCACUGUUUCGGCUAGGGGGCCAUCCCGGCUUACCAACCCGAUGCAAACUGCGAAUACCGGAGAAUGUUAUCACGGGAGACACACGGCGGGUGCUAACGUCCGUCGUGAAGAGGGAAACAACCCAGACCGCCAGCUAAGGUCCCAAAGUCAUGGUUAAGUGGGAAACGAUGUGGGAAGGCCCAGACAGCCAGGAUGUUGGCUUAGAAGCAGCCAUCAUUUAAAGAAAGCGUAAUAGCUCACUGGUCGAGUCGGCCUGCGCGGAAGAUGUAACGGGGCUAAACCAUG